rnacentral:rRNA from 1 species
AGAGUUUGAUCCUGGCUCAGAUUGAACGCUGGCGGAAUGCUUUACACAUGCAAGUCGAACGGCAGCACGGGGCAACUUGGUGGCGAGUGGCGAACGGGUGAGUAAUACAUCGGAACGUGCCCAAUCGUGGGGGAUAACGUAGCGAAAGUUACGCUAAUACCGCAUACGAUCUACGGAUGAAAGCGGGGGAUCGCAAGACCUCGCGCGAAUGGAGCGGCCGAUGUCAGAUUAGGUAGUUGGUGGGGUAAAGGCUCACCAAGCCGACGAUCUGUAGCUGGUCUGAGAGGACGACCAGCCACACUGGGACUGAGACACGGCCCAGACUCCUACGGGAGGCAGCAGUGGGGAAUUUUGGACAAUGGGCGCAAGCCUGAUCCAGCCAUUCCGCGUGCAGGAUGAAGGCCUUCGGGUUGUAAACUGCUUUUGUACGGAACGAAACGGUUCUCUCUAAUACAGGGGGCUAAUGACGGUACCGUAAGAAUAAGCACCGGCUAACUACGUG